rnacentral:rRNA from 1 species
GGUGGAUCAGUGGCGAACGGGAGAGAAACACGUGAGCAACCUGCCCUGGACUCUGGGAUAAGCGCUGGAAACGGCGUCUAAUACUGGAUAUGAGCCCCUAUCGCAUGGUGGGGGUUGGAAAGAUUUUUUGGUCUGGGAUGGGCUCGCGGCCUAUCAGCUUGUUGGUGAGGUAAUGGCUCACCAAGGCGUCGACGGGUAGCCGGCCUGAGAGGGUGACCGGCCACACUGGGACUGAGACACGGCCCAGACUCCUACGGGAGGCAGCAGUGGGGAAUAUUGCACAAUGGGCGAAAGCCUGAUGCAGCAACGCCGCGUGAGGGAUGACGGCCUUCGGGUUGUAAACCUCUUUUAGCAGGGAAGAAGCGAAAGUGACGGUACCUGCAGAAAAAGCGCCGGCUAACUACGUGCCAGCAGCCGCGGUAAUACGUAGGGCGCAAGCGUUAUCCGGAAUUAUUGGGCGUAAAGAGCUCGUAGGCGGUUUGUCGCGUCUGCUGUGAAAUCCCGAGGCUCAACCUCGGGCCUGCAGUGGGUACGGGCAGACUAGAGUGCGGUAGGGGAGAUUGGAAUUCCUGGUGUAGCGGUGGAAUGCGCAGAUAUCAGGAGGAACACCGAUGGCGAAG